GGUGGCGCAGUUGGUAGCACUGUUGCCUCGCAGUAAGAAUGGUCCUGGGUUCGACUCCCGGCAGAGGGUCU